GCCUUGAGGGAUGGCAAGGACGCACUGGGGAGGAAGGCAUGGCCAGAAGGUGAACACGCAAUCCAUAAGGCAGGCUCAAGGAGGAUUUUGAGGGUAAGAGAAGAUUAUUAGAAGAGCUGGCAUAAUCCAAAAUAAUGGUACCCGUGGGGAAACAAAGCAACCACAACUCAACUUUGCACGAGAGUCUUCGGAUGGUGGAUUUGAUUUAAAAAUGGACAUGACAGCCCAGGAGAAGGUGACUGGGAGUCCAUGACGGCAAACGGGACACAGGCAGAUGCCUGUCUUGAGACCUUCCAGCUGGCUUGCAUUUCCUCAUGGGAUAAGAGCCCUCUCUUGUAGGCUGGAAAGGCAGUGAGACCACCACACGAUUUUAUGGAUACAUUUUCACUUUUCCAGAUGCAAAGAGUGGAGCUGUAAUUACCUUGCGUACGUUUUGAUAAUGUCCCUUGGGCAAGAGUUGUGGUUAAGAACAUCACGACCCUAAGAAAUUCGGGAAAGAUGUGCCUGUGGCGGGUGCCCGUGGCACAGUCUGGCUCUCGGCCUUCUCUUCUGCCGUGCCUGAAGCCCUGGAUUGUGAAGGUGCCUCGUCGACCACAGGGUUCCAGGGUCGGCCUGCUGUCGCCGGAGACGAACCUCCAAGAGCACCGUGUUCGAGCUCUGUCUGCAUCCCGUCCGGGAGGAGGAGAGGGCAUCCCACGAGCAAGCAGGGCCCUGGAUGUGUGGUGACCCCUAGGUCAGAGAUGUCCUGAACCUUUACUAUUUCCUGGAGAAGAGAAGAGGCUGAAGGUUCAGCUCGUUAGAGGCAGCAUCGACCUGAUCAGUGACUGAGGGGAACUAGUAUAGAAACAGCUCAGCUCCCUCGCUGCUCAGACGGCAGGACCCCGAGGUGUAUUUUCUACGGCCGGCUCCCAGAGAUAGCAGCAGGACGAAGCUCUAAUUGUCCACAACGAUGACUUGCUUGAUAACAAACCUAUUAUCAGCUGUCUUCCCUUCCGCAUCUCACUUCCUCACUCCCCUGACAGUGUUUCUCAGGAUUUCCUCGCAAAGAAACUAUUUACACUUGAUUUUGUGUUUUAGGAUCUUCCUAAGAAGGAGCUCCAAACUAAAAUAAA